rnacentral:rRNA from 1 species
UGGCGGACGGGUGAGUAAUGUCUGGGAAACUGCCCGAUGGAGGGGGAUAACUACUGGAAACGGUAGUUAAUACCGCAUAACGUCGCAAGACCAAAGAGGGGGACCUUCGGGCCUCUUGCCAUCGGAUGUGCCCAGAUGGGAUUAGCUAGUAGGUGGGGUAGAGGCUCACCUAGGCGACGAUCCCUAGCUGGUCUGAGAGGAUGACCAGCCACACUGGAACUGAGACACGGUCCAG